GGGUUGUGAGGUUAAGUGACUAAGCGUACACGGUGGAUGCCUAGGCAGUCAGAGGCGAUGAAGGGCGUGCUAAUCUGCGAAAAGCGUCGGUAAGGUGAUAUGAACCGUUACAACCGGCGAUACCCGAAUGGGGAAACCCAGUGUGUUUCGACACACUAUCAUGUCAUGAAUACAUAGUGGCAUGAGGCGAACCGGGGGAACUGAAACAUCUAAGUACCCCGAGGAAAAGAAAUCAACCGAGAUUCCCCCAGUAGCGGCGAGCGAACGGGGAGGAGCCCAGAACCUGAAUCGGC
rnacentral:rRNA from 1 species